rnacentral:rRNA from 1 species
CCUUGUUACAACUUCUCCUUCCUCCAAGCCUCGCGGUUCGUCCCUGUUCCAUCCCUCCCAGGAGCUCGCCCCAAGACCCAGUCGGUAGGAGCGACGGGUGGUGUGUACAAUGGGCAGGGACGUAUCCGGGGUAGAUUGAUGACCUACGCCUACUAUACAUUCCAGGUUCACGAGGACGUUCCAGUCCACGAUCCCAACCACGUGGGGGUUUGAUCUCAUCGAUCUUCACAACUCGACAUGGUUUCAUCCCCACAAUGUAGUACGGGUGCAGCCCGGGGUGUCUAAGGGCAUCACAUACCUGUUAUCGCCCCACCUUCCUCCAAUUCACCAUUGGCGGUCCCAUCCAGGUUAGGGUCUCGCUCGUUGUCGCAGUCAAGCAUACGGCUCAAGCCACGGGCUGUGAACGGCCAUGCACCACCACUCGUACGAUCACGAAGGUCCUCUCAACCGUCGAUCCUCCGUACGUCUGGGCCUGGUAAGGUGUUCGCGUUGGGUCAAAUUGAGCCGCACACUCCACGUCUGGUGAUACCCCUCCGUCAAUGCCGUCAAGUUCCAGCCUUGCGGCCAUACUCCCCCCAGAGCCCGUACCCUGAUCGGUUGCCCUUCUAUCCUGACGACCUGUCCAGUCUCUCCGUGGCAUCUCUUACUUCCGACAAUACUGCGGUGUCUAAUCGCCUUCUCUCAUUCGGGCUUCGUCCUGGGUCGACUGAUAUGGUCUUGGCAAGUGCCUACGCCUUUGUCUGUCUUGGUCGGAUCAUCCUAUUUCACCCGUCCCCCACCAAUACACAUGAACUUACUCACUCGCCUUCCUGUCCGUCCCGGGCUAUCUCGUACUCACUCCCUUCGUCAUUCGCUCCUCUUUCCUCCCGGCUGGACGUCUCGACUCCGGACUGUUUAACUGCGACAGCGCCGAUCGACACUUGCCUAGCUGGAACUACCGCAGCUGCUAU